rnacentral:rRNA from 1 species
GACGAACGCUGGCGGCGUGCUUAACACAUGCAAGUCGAACGGAAAGGCCCUGCUUUUGUGGGGUGCUCGAGUGGCGAAAGGGUGAGUAAAACGUGAGUAACCUGCCCUUGACUUUGGGAUAACUUCAGGAAACUGGGGCUAAUACCGGAUAGGAGCUCCUGCUGCAUGGGGGGGGGUGGAAAGUUUCGGCGGGUGGGGAUGGACUCGCGGCUUAUCAGCUUGUUGGUGGGGGAGUGGCUUACCAAGGCUUUGACGGGUAGCCGGCCUGCGAGGGUGACCGGCCACAUUGGGACUGAGAUACGGCCCAGACUCCUACGGGAGGCAGCAGUGGGGAAUAUUGCACAAUGGGCGGAAGCCUGAUGCAGCAACGCCGCGUGCGGGAUGACGGCCUUCGGGUUGUAAACCGCUUUCGCCUGUGACGAAGCGUGAGUGACGGUAAUGGGUAAAGAAGCACCGGCUAACUACGU